rnacentral:rRNA from 1 species
AGCGAACGCUGGCGGCAUGCCUAACACAUGCAAGUCGAACGAGACCUUCGGGUCUAGUGGCGCACGGGUGCGUAACGCGUGGGAACCUGCCCUUAGGUUCGGAAUAACUCCCCGAAAGGGGUGCUAAUACCGGAUAAUGUCUUCGGACCAAAGAUUUAUCGCCUUUGGAUGGGCCCGCGUUGGAUUAGCUAGUUGGUAGGGUAAAAGCCUACCAAGGCGACGAUCCAUAGCUGGUCUGAGAGGAUGAUCAGCCACACUGGGACUGAGACACGGCCCAGACUCCUACGGGAGGCAGCAGUGGGGAAUAUUGGACAAUGGGCGAAAGCCUGAUCCAGCAAUGCCGCGUGAGUGAUGAAGGCCUUAGGGUUGUAAAGCUCUUUUACCCGGGAUGAUAAUGACAGUACCGGGAGAAUAAGCUCCGGCUAACUCCGCG